rnacentral:rRNA from 1 species
UCUGUGCCAGCAGCCGCGGUAAUACAGAGGGUGCGAGCGUUAAUCGGAUUUACUGGGCGUAAAGCGUGCGUAGGCGGUUUGAUAAGUCGGUUGUGAAAGCCCCGGGCUCAACCUGGGAAUUGCGGCCGAUACUGUCAGACUAGAAAACGGUAGAGGGAGGCGGAACUCCAGGUGUAGCGGUGAAAUGCGUAGAUAUCUGGAAGAACACCGAUGGCGAAGGCAACCUCCUGGGCCUGUUUUGACGCUGAGGCACGAAAGCGUGGGUAGCAAACAGGA